rnacentral:pre_miRNA from 1 species
UAUUAAAAGUUCCUUUCAUUUCUAUUAUUAAAAAUUAGUAUGGUUGAUGGAAUAAUUAAAUAAUUACACAUUGCAUGACGUGUGUAUCUCAUGAUGAUGUAUAAAGAUUAGUUUUUAAUACUAAAAAUGAAUAGAAUUUUAAUA